UACGGAGGAUUCGAGCGUUAUCCGGAUUUAUUGGGUUUAAAGGGUGCGUAGGCUGUUUUGUAAGUCAGUGGUGAAAUGUAGAGGCUUAACCUCUGCAGUGCCAUUGAAACUAUAGGACUUGAGUGAAGAUGAAGUUGGCGGAAUGUGUCAAGUAGCGGUGAAAUGCAUAGAUAUGACACAGAACACCGAUAGCGAAGGCAGCUGACUAAGGUUCGACUGACGCUGAUGCACGAAGGCGUGGGGAUCAAACAGGAUUAGAUACCCUGGUAGUCCACGCAGUAAACGAUGAUUACUGGUUUUUGGCGAUAUACCGUCAGAGGCGAAGAGAAAUCGAUAAGUAAUCCACCUGGGGAGUACGACCGCAAGGUUGAA
rnacentral:rRNA from 1 species